GCCCCCGUAGCUCAGCGGAUAGAGCGAGAGACUUCUAAUCUCUUGGUCGCAGGUUCGAGUCCUGCCGGGGGCACCC
rnacentral:tRNA from 1 species